AUUGAACGCUGGCGGCAGGCUUAACACAUGCAAGUCGAGCGGAGCGAGGGUGCUUGCACCUUAGCUUAGCGGCGGACGGGUGAGUAAUGCUUAGGAAUCUGCCUAUUAGUGGGGGACAACAUUCCGAAAGGAAUGCUAAUACCGCAUACGCCCUACGGGGGAAAGCAGGGGAUCUUCGGACCUUGCGCUAAUAGAUGAGCCUAAGUCGGAUUAGCGAGUUGGUGGGGUAAAGGCCUACCAAGGCGACGAUCUGUAGCGGGUCUGAGAGGAUGGUCCGCCACACUGGGACUGAGACACGGCCCAGAAUCCUACGGGAGGCAGCAGUGGGGAAUAUUGGACAAUGGGCGGAAGCCUGGUCCAGCCAUGCGGCGUGUGGGAAGAAGGCCUUUUGGUUGUAAAGCACUUUAAGCGAGGAGGAGGCUACUAGUAUUAAUACUACUGGAUAGUGGACGUUACUCGCAGAAUAAGCACCGGCUAACUCUGUGCCAGCCGCCGCAGUAACAC
rnacentral:rRNA from 1 species